UACGUAUGGUGCAAGCGUUAUCCGGAUUUACUGGGUGUAAAGGGAGCGCAGGCGGUGCGGCAAGUCUGAUGUGAAAGCCCGGGGCUCAACCCCGGUACUGCAUUGGAAACUGUCGUACUAGAGUGUCGGAAGGGUAAGCGGAAUUCCUAGUGUAGCGGUGAAAUGCGUAGAUAUUAGGAGGAACACCAGUGGCGAAGGCGGCUUACUGGACGAUAACUGACGCUGAGGCUCGAAAGCGUGGGGAGCAAACAGG
rnacentral:rRNA from 1 species